rnacentral:tRNA from 1 species
CAGGAAAUAGCUUAUAUUAAAGCAAAUUAUUUACAUUAAUAAGAAAUUUUAUUAAUUUUUCUGA